GAUGAAGAACGCAGCGAAAUGCGAUACGUAAUGUGAAUUGCAGAAUUCAGUGAAUCAUCGAAUCUUUGAACGCAUAUUGCGCUCUCUGGUAUUCCGGAGAGCAUGCUUGUUUGAGUAUCAGUAAACACCUCAACUUCCAUAUCUUUUUUGAAAUGGGAGUUGGACUUGAGUGAUCCCAACGCUUUUCCUCACCGAAAAGUGGCGGGUUACUUGAAAUGCAGGUGCAGCUGGACUUUUCUCUGAGCUAAAAGCAUAUCUAUUUAGUCUGCCUAAAAAACAGAUUAUUACCUUUGCUGCAGCUAACAUAAAGGAGAUUAGUUCUUGUGCUGACUGAUGCAGGAUUCACAGAGACAGCUUCGGCUGGCCUUUGUAAACUCGAUCUCAAAUCAAGUAAGACUACCCGCUGAACUUAAGCAUAUCAAUAAGCGGAGGA
rnacentral:misc_RNA from 1 species